CUUCCUCUUGAAAGAAUGGACCGAGAUAAAGACAGCUCUGCGCCACAAGGUAAAAAGUUUGGAAUAAAAGUGAAGAAACAACACUGGAAAGGACACACGGGUGUUGUAAUCACAAAUAAAAAUGCUCUAGAUGCUGAGGCUGAAACUCCUGAGGAUCCAGACGUAGUAGACGUAACACAGCCUGAACUCACUCAAGCGUCCACCUCGCCUCACACUUCCUUCAGACAGGCUGCUAAUACUA